GACGAACGCUGGCGGCGUGCUUAACACAUGCAAGUCGAACGGAAAGGCCCUGCUUUUGUGGGGUGCUCGAGUGGCGAACGGGUGAGUAACACGUGAGUAACCUGCCCUUGACUUUGGGAUAACUUCAGGAAACUGGGGCUAAUACCGGAUAGGAGCUCCUGCUGCAUGGUGGGGGUUGGAAAGUUUCGGCGGUUGGGGAUGGACUCGCGGCUUAUCAGCUUGUUGGUGGGGUAGUGGCUUACCAAGGCUUUGACGGAUAGCCGGCCUGAGAGGGUGACCGGCCACAUUGGGACUGAGAUACGGCCCAGACUCCUACGGGAGGCAGCAGUGGGGAAUAUUGCACAAUGGGCGGAAGCCUGAUGCAGCAACGCCGCGUGCGUGAUGACGGCCUUCGGGUUGUAAACCGCUUUCGCCUGUGACGAAGCGUGAGUGACGGUAAUGGGUAAAGAAGCACCGGCUAACUACGUG
rnacentral:rRNA from 1 species